rnacentral:rRNA from 1 species
CAUAAGCGGAGGAAAAGAAACCAACAGGGAUUGCCCUAGUAACGGCGAGUGAAGCGGCAACAGCUCAAAUUUGAAAUCUGGCUCUUUCAGAGUCCGAGUUGUAAUUUGCAGAGGGCGCUUUGGCGUCGGCAGCGGUCCAAGUUCUUUGGAACAGGACGUCACAGAGGGUGAGAAUCCCGUACGUGGUCGCUAGCCUUCGCCGUGUAAAGCCCCUUCGACGAGUCGAGUUGUUUGGGAAUGCAGCUCUAAAUGGGAGGUAAAUUUCUUCUAAAGCUAAAUACUGGCCAGAGACCGAUAGCGCACAAGUAGAGUGAUCGAAAGAUGAAAAGCACUUUGGAAAGAGAGUCAAAUAGCACGUGAAAUUGUUGAAAGGGAAGCGCUUGCAGCCAGACUUACCUGUAGUUGCUUAUCUGGACUUUUGUCCAGUGCACUCUUCUACGGGUAGGCCAGCAUCAGUUUGGGCGGUUGGAUAAAGGUCUCUGUCACGUACCUCCCUUCGGGGUGGCCUUAUAGGGGAGACGUCAUGCAACCAGCCUGGACUGAGGUCCGCGCAUCUGCUAGGAUGCUGGCGUAAUGGCUGUAAGCGGCCCGUCUUGAAACACGGACCAAGGAGUCUAACAUCUAUGCGAGUGUUUGGGUGUCAAGCCCAGACGCGUAAUGAAAGUGAACGGAGGUGGGAACCCUUUGGGUGCACCAUCGACCGAUCCUGAUGUCUUCGGAUGGAUUUGAGUAAGAGCAUGGCUGUUGGGACCCGAAAGAUGGUGAACUAUGCUUGAAUAGGGUGAAGCCAGAGGAAACUCUGGUGGAGGCUCGCAGCGGUUCUGACGUGCAAAUCGAUCGUCAAAUUUGGGCAUAGGGGCGAAAGACUAAUCGAACUAUCUAGUAGCUGGUUCCU